ACGUUUUUAGCUCAGUUGGAAGAGCAGUAGCCUUCUAAGCUAUAGGUCGAAGGUUCGAUCCCUUCAAGACGUA
rnacentral:tRNA from 1 species